AUAUCUGGUUUUGGGCUGAAUCUUGAAGCUUCUUGUGACCAGAAAAGAGGAAUUGAGCCCCUCAUUUGAACAACAGAGCUCAUUUUCCCUUUGCUUGAGCCAGCUUCUUCGUCAAGCACAAUUUGUUCAGUUUCAACAUCAUUUGCCACUCUUCCAUGAUCAUUAACUCCCCUUUUCAAGUAACUGCAGCAUGAACAUUUACUGGUAAGACUUUGGACAUCAUUUGCUACUCUUCCAUGAUCAUUAACUCCCCUUUUCAAGUAACUGCAGCAUGAACAUUUACUGGUAAGACUUCGCGACAGAUACAGAAGUUGCUCAUGGAAAGAUUACAGAAGUGUCAAUUCGCACAUUAACAGGAAUAUUCAGUUAUUCAGCUUUCCUACUUGAGAACAACAGAGACGAGAUGGUUUUUUAGGAGGCAAAACUUUUCAACAAAAUAUAAUCAAAAUGGGCUAAAUUUUCAUACUCCCAUAACACUC
rnacentral:lncRNA from 1 species